AGUGCUGGGACAAGGAGCAGUAAGUUGUAAUUAAGCGGCAAGCUAGGAGAAAGGGGCUUUUAUGUCCUUGUGUGGGGGUGGACAGGAGAAAAAGCUCCUGGCACUGCAGUCAAGGUGCAAAGAGGGACACGGGAAAGAGCAGGUUGGUGGCUGGGGCAGGUGCUCGUCAUAACCAUCACUGAAAACUGUGUGUGCUGAGAACCUGGGUUCAAUUUCUAGUACCUACAUCCAUCCAGAACUGCAGCUCUAACUCCAAGGAUCUGACUCCCUCGUCUCUUCUCCCAGGGCAUCAGGCACACACAGCACUCAGAGCCAGCCAGUGAGGGAUUCAAAGGCCUACGGGGGAAACUUGGCAGACAUGGGACCUCAGCUAACUCCCAUAAUCUCCCUGAGGAUCAGGUGGCAUAUUACCUUUAUUGGUUUGCAAGUGUUGAACCAUUCCUGCAUCACUGGGACGAAGGCAACCUGCGCGUGAUGAGUGGUAUUCUUUAUGUAAGAUUUUCCAAUUUAGUGGACUACAUAAGGCUCCCAGAUGUCACUCACUGAGGAGUUACAGAUGCUGGACACACCUCUGCAGCCUGUCAGUGUUUGGAUUUCAAAUGCUGGUCAUGUCCCAGUGGCUCUUUCAGACAUCACACUGGCUACUACGUAUCCUGUCUCUCUCUGUUCCCCCUGCAGACUCUGGCUCCUGCCAGGUUUCUGCCUCAAAGAAUACGGGAAGGUUCUGAUUCGGUUUCUUUCCCAUGGUCUAGAGGUGUUCAGGUUUCAGUAAAUGGUCCCAUGAUUCUUGCUCUGUAUUCUCCGAGGGUGCAAUCCAGGAAAGGCUAGGAGCCACAAAGCCACUGCCUCAGCCCCAGGACUUUUUAAAAAGAUGUCUUGUCCCACUUUGGUGGAGAGAUGAGAAGAGAGUGGUCCUAGUAUCUCCCCUCCCUACUACUGUACUCAAAUGUUGCCUCUCUUCUUCCCUUCUUUUUCCCCCUCUGUCUUUUCAAAAUGUCUGUCACUGAGAGCACAGUGCCAGUUUUCCAUGGCUCUGGUCCCUCCUGCUCCCGAGCACACCAACCCCUCAGGGACUGUUCUUUUUCCUGUUCUGGUCUAUUUGAUACUACAGGACGCGUAGAACAUCUUCAGUGUUUUUCAGAGUUGAUCAACAUGUUGAUUUUUAUAAUCAACCAUGCUUUGCGUAAAUACGUAAAAAAUGUGAGUAGUGCGCAGAGAGCCAUUUUCAAACAUUACUGGAAUUUGUCUUAAUCCAGAGCCAAAAAUCAUUCUAGAUUUUAAAAUUAUUUUUAAACUCAAGUCAGAAACUCAAAUCAUGAUUUUUUGCAAUCAAAUAUUUUAGCCCACUAUAAUCCAAAGACAUACUUACAUGAUAUAUGUUGAAAAAUGAAGCUAGGAAACUAUUAAAAGUUUUUUUUUUUGCAUAC